rnacentral:rRNA from 1 species
AGGCGGAAGUUUUCGGAUGGAAGCUUGUAAACUUAGUGGCGGACGGGUGAGUAACACGUGAGCAACCUGCCUAUCAGAGGGGGAUAACGAUUGGAAACGAUCGCUAAUACCGCAUGACAUAGCGGAACCGCAUGGUUCUGUUAUCAAAGAUUUAUCGCUGAUAGAUGGGCUCGCGUCCGAUUAGAUAGUUGGUGGGGUAACGGCCUACCAAGUCGACGAUCAGUAGCCGGCCUGAGAGGGUGAACGGCCACAUUGGGACUGAGACACGGCCCAAACUCC